UUCAACACACAUAAAAAAAAUUCUUCACCAAUUUCUCGAAAAACAAGUGGGGAUAGCAGAUGUUGAUCGCAAGAUGUCAAUGAUCUGAUUUAGGAUUUCUUCUCAAAUAUGCAUACGGUUUAUUUAGGUUAGUAUUUGAUUUAUCUGUACAAGCAAUUCUCGGUUUUUAUUUGUUAUUUGAGUGUAACUGAUGAAAUCUAUUCAAGCAUUUCAAUUUCCAUUGAAUAUAAAGUAAAUUGAUCUCUCCUGUAGUUUCUUAUACUGUGUUUUCUUAUGAAAUUUGAAAUUAUUUUUGUUUUCACAAUUCUAUUAUGAAUCUGCAUAAAAUUUCGAAACGAUUUGUAGAUCUUUAAUGUAUUUGUGUAUGGAUAGAUUAGUCGCAGUCUUUGUGUGGGUGAUUUAGAAUCGUUAUAUCACAAUUUUAUUAUACUAUGCCUUUUUUUGGUGGUUUGAGUCUCUUGCCUGAGUUUCAAACUCACUAGCCUUGACUGAAUGACCUUGAAUCCCACGCAAGGUGUCAACACAUGACUGUACUUCGAUUCCGAGGUGUUUCUAUCCUUGGUGUCAUCAAGAGCUUGUUGUCUGGAGUGAUCAAGGUUGUGUGUUAAUAAUAUGGAACACUUAGUCUUGAAGUUGUGUUCAUGAUCUCUGAGAUGAUUGUAAAUUCAGAUUCUUGGCCAUCUCUACUGCUACACACUUCAAAUGUGAAAAAUCCACCCCUCUUAUCAUGUUUUGUGUACUCUUCCUUGACCCUUACUUGUUAUGAAUCACAUAUGAGCAAUGAUAUCAUAAUAGGUUUUUGUGAUUUAUGCAAGCUAACAUGUAUUUUCGUAACAGAUGCAUCCUUAUUUUUGUGGUAUUUAAUUAAGCCAUGAACCUGCAUUUGACGGAUCCUCUCUGUUGGAAUUUUAGUUAAACAGUCUUAUGAUUUUCUCCUUUAUUCACUUAAAUUUGUAGUCAUAUUAACAUGCGCCGUAAGAGAUGGAAGUAAACUAUGAUUUUUUCCGAGCGUGUGGGGCAAUGGUAAUACUGUCAAGGAUGAUUUCCCUUGCUUGUUUUCAUUACCUAGUGGAAAGAUUAGAACUUCUCAUUUUUCUUUGAAAAUUUGGUGUUGUUUGUCUUAUAUUCAUCUGAAAAUUCAUUCAUGAGAAAAUUCCACGAUGAAUUGUACUACUAUGGCUAGCCCUUACAAAAAAUUUAUGUUAUCUAUUCUUGUUAAUGCUUGAUAUGUGAUGUAAACCAAUACUAAUAAGGAUUCUUUGUUCAAUUACAAGACUUUUGUCAGAUAAUGAGCUUUAAAAAAAAUCCUUCUUCCAGAUAGUUUGAUGAAGUUGGCAUUGAGAUCUCAAUAUUUAUGUUGUUUCAUUAGUCCUGAUGAGUUGAGUGCUAAGAUGCUAAUGCUAUAUCAAAAGUUAUAGGUAUGCCUAUCUUCCUUUACAGGUCCAUUCAAUUUAUUUCAAUAGGGAUACAUUGAAGAUCAUAGUCGGCAAGUUAGAUGAUGUAUUGAAUUUCUCCCCUAAAUUUCUCCUCAUAUUGGAAUUUCAUAUUGUGAUUAUGAUUAUACAAGCAGAUUACUUUUUCACCAGGAAACACUAGAUGAGGUUAGCUACACAUCAUAAGGAACCGAGCAAAGCUUGUCAAGAAGAUUUAAUUUUGUAUCAAAUCAUAUACUUGAUAAAAAUGAGUCAGAUUCUAAGAAAAAAGUUCUAGCUGAUGUAGGUAUCUCUACAAAUAUUUGGAAACUAGACAAAUAUAAACUUGAUUCGCAAAGGAUGGAGGCCUACUGGUUUGACUUUCCAUUCCUAUACAUUUUUUCUUGAUUUCUUUUGGUAGGCCUUAUGAAGCUAAAACUCAACCAACUCUACUAAGAUGCUAAAGUUAUAUUUCAGCUCACCUUGUUGAUGAAAUCAUUGUAUGUUGAUUGCUUUGUUAAAGUGAUGUCAUGAUCAAAUUUUUUUGAGUUCACUGUCCUGCACUACAAAGAUGGUGGUAGGCGAUAUUUUGGAUGGACUUAUUUUAACAAUUUGAGCAACUAUUAUCAGGAGAUGCUUCUUUCCUUUGUACUAAUAAAUUAUGUAAAAAUAGACAUGUCCAUUUAAAACUAUUUUCAUAAUAAUACUAAGGUGGCAGAGUAGUCAUAGAGAAAUUUCUUUUAUUUACAAAAGGAAAACUUCUAGCAUUGUUCAGGCAAUUUUUUUUAGAAGGUGAUUAUGUGGUACUUACACAUAGUGAUCGGUUAUAUGCAUAAAACUCUAAUUCAAACAACGGAUUAUUGAUGUUAUAUUCUGUUAGUAAUGUCUUCUGAAAUGCGUUGAGAAAAUAAAUACAUAUACAUGCUCUUGGUAAGCUUAAUCAUUUAGGAUGAGAGCACUUACCAUCGACUUAUAUAUAGAUGAAAUAUUCUUGUAAUAUUUCUGAUAAUGGUCAUAUAACAUGCAUUUUCUCCUAGCUUCCAAUGUGAUAUGGAAUUUUAUCUUUGCCUUGCCUUAUGUUUAAUAUUUCUUUCCUUGCUUUAGGUAAGAUGCUUGGUUUUAGAAACUUCAGUAUCUAUCCUUAAGCUUUUUUAUAUAAAUACAUCUUUGAGUUAAGUUUAUAAUUUCGAACUUACUAAAUCUAAAAUGAAAUAACUAUUCAAAAGAUACACAAGAAUUGACUACGAAAAAUUGAGAGUUUAAUUUACUAUCUUUGUAACAAAAUUAUUCCUAAUUUACUAUUUCACUGUUGGUAUAUAUAUUUUUCUUUUCAAUUCUCAUGGCUCUCCUAUAUGAAACCAAAUGUGAACAGUAAAAAUCACCUUAGUCUUUAGUCAUUUGCUAGUAUUUAAGUCACUGCGUAGAAUACAAAUUCCUCAAGAGAAGAAAAUCCAAUGUACAACCUUGAAAUGAUGUUGAAGGAUGGAAUUGACAUGGAUGAUCAGACCUCUGUAAUGUAUUCAAGUGUUUUGAAUUUUGAGAACUGAAAAUUUAAUGGUAUUUUAGUUGUUCUUUGUUAGUUGACUUUUAGACUUGGGGAAAAGAUAGCUUAGUACGUCGAUUAUGUUGUCUUGUAAGAGAACUUGUUAUUGUUUUGUUUGUCACUUGCAUCUAACUCUUGAGUCUGCAGCCUAAAAUAUGAAGAGCAUAGUACAUGCGAUUGAUUGAGAGUACAUCCUGCAACGAUGGGUAAGUUUCUGUUUGAUCAAACUACUCUCUUGCUUGAUGAAUCCCUUUGCUUUUGUAUGGUGCAAUAUCAGUAACUCAAAAAAAUAAAGAGUGUUGAUUUAUACUACAUUCUACUUUUUUUUUAUACUCAAAUUUUUUAGUAUCUCAUGUUCACAUCUAAAGUAUCUAAAUUUCAUCCUAUUGAACACAAGAUAUACUUUCUUGAAGCUAUUGAUCGGCUGCAUUUGUUUGAUCAGAACAAUAUUUUUCCAAUUAUCUAGUUAGUGAUUAAAUUAUUCAUUUAUUUUCUAAAUAAAGUAGCUUGUAGAAAUCUUGUUCCUUAGUUGACAUGAAAUUGUUCUUAUAGCAGGUCAAGAAUUUGAAGUACGAAGAACAUGUCAUUUGAAGAAAUUGGAGAGCAUAUUCAAGCGCAAUAUAUUUUUAUUUUGUUAUUGGUAUUUUAACGAUUUUAUCAGUUGUACAUAUGCUAUAAGUUUUUUUAAGGAGUUAUAAAUUAGUAUCAUACAAUUUUG
rnacentral:lncRNA from 1 species